UACAGAGGGUGCAAGCGUUAAUCGGAUUUACUGGGCGUAAAGCGUGUGUAGGUGGUUAGAAAAGUCGAUUGUGAAAUCCCUGGGCUCAACCCGGGAACUGCUUUCGGGACUGUCUGACUAGAAUUCGGUAGAGGGAGGCGGAACUCCAGGUGUAGCGGUGAAAUGCGUAGAUAUCUGGAAGAACACCAAUGGCGAAGGCAACCUCCUGGGCCUGAAUUGACACUGAGACGCGAAAGCGUGGGGAUCAAACAGG
rnacentral:rRNA from 1 species